GAUGAACGCUGGCGGCGUGCCUAAUACAUGCAAGUCGAGCGAACAGACGAGGAGCUUGCUCCUCUGACGUUAGCGGCGGACGGGUGAGUAACACGUGGAUAACCUACCUAUAAGACUGGGAUAACUUCGGGAAACCGGAGCUAAUACCGGAUAACAUGUUGAACCGCAUGGUUCAACAGUGAAAGACGGUCUUGCUGUCACUUAUAGAUGGAUCCGCGCCGCAUUAGCUAGUUGGUAAGGUAACGGCUUACCAAGGCAACGAUGCGUAGCCGACCUGAGAGGGUGAUCGGCCACACUGGAACUGAGACACGGUCCAGACUCCUACGGGAGGCCGCAGUAGGGACUCUUCCGCAAUGGGCGAAAGCCUGACGGAGCAACGCCGCGUGAGUGAAGAAGGUCUUCGGAUCGUAAAACUCUGUUAUUAGGGAAGAACAAAUGUGUAAGUAACUAUGCACGUCUUGACGGUACCUAAUCAGAAAGCCACGGCUAACUACGUG
rnacentral:rRNA from 1 species